rnacentral:lncRNA from 1 species
CACCCCCCAAAGCUUCCCCCCUCCAAUUCUCUCUUCCCGCUGCUGAUUCCCUCUCUUCUUCAACACCUAUCAACAAUCACAAAUACCCGUUAUCACUAUCGUCUUCUAAUUCUGAUGUUACGGCCGUCGUUUGCCCCUCACUUGCAAAUGCAAACACCCUUUACUUCAGGUCGGGAUACAAUGUUCAGGUAAUUGUGGAUGAUAAUGAGCACGAAGAGAAGCUUGUCGGACGGUUUCGUAGGGAGGUUAUGAGAGCUGGAGUCAUACAGGAAUGCAAGCGUAGGAGAUAUUUCGAGAACAAGCACG